AUCGAACGCUGGCGGCAGGCCUAACACAUGCAAGUCGAACGAGUGGCGGACGGGUGUGUAACGUCUGGGAAACUGCCCGAGGGAGGGGGAUAACUACUGGAAAGGGUGGCUAUUACCGCAUACCAGCGGCUGUGCCCAGAUGGGAUUAGCUAGUAGGUGGGGUAACGGCUCACCUAGGCGACGAUCCCUAGCUGGUAUGAGAGGAUGACGAGCCCCACUGGAACUGAGACACGGUCCAGACUCCUACGGGAGGCAGCAGUGGGGAAUAUUGCACAAUGGGCGCAAGCCUGAGGCAGCCAUGCCGCUUGUAUGAAGAAGGCCUUCGUGUUGUAAAGUACUUUCAGCGAGGAGGCGUUACUCGCAGAAGAAGCACCGGCUAACUCCGUGCCAGCAGCCGCGGUAAUUC
rnacentral:rRNA from 1 species